AUGAGUGAUUUGAUGUACCUUUGUUAUUUUAUCACACAGUAUGUGACUCACGAUCAGAUCUGCAUGUGUGUGUUCUCCUGUCUCACAUUUUCUAAAGAUGGUCCACUGGCAGAUGUCACAUACUCAGAGGUCACUUUCAAGAAAAACAAGAAAAAGAUGGACAAAGAUGAUAGCAUGGCAGAGCCAAAUAAUGUGACAUACUCAGAAGUCAGAAAAAAAGGAAAGAAACCCAAAAGCAAAGAUAUUAAUACUGCAGGACCCACUGAUCUGGUUUAUGCACAGAUUGAUUUUCAGGACAAAAAGAAGAACAAGGGUAAAGGGGCUGGACUUCGUGAUUUUCUCAUUGAAAUGAAAUCUAAAGACAAACAAAGAGUGUUACAUCUAACCCUGAGUUACUUUCAUCUCCGGUCCUACUGUAGUUAAAAUGCAACACAUGCUCAUUGGAAAUACAUGCCUCUACAUACAUUGUUACCUAUAUGUAUGAUUUACUGCAGUUUCCAGUCAAAAUAAACACAAGAGGCAGUAACUCCGACAACUUUACAUUUACAUUUAGUCAUUUAGCAGAUGCUUUGAUUCAAAGUGACUUACAAAUGAGGACAAUGGAAGCAAUCAAAAUCAACAAAAGAGCAAUGAUAUACAAGUGCUAUAACACUUCUCAGUUAGCUUAACACAGUUCACGUAGCAAGGGCUUUUAAAUAAUAUAAUGAAUAAACAAGAAAACAAAAUAGAAAAAGAAUAGAGCAAGCUAGUGUUAGAGGUCUUUUUUUGCUUUUGUUAAUUGUAUAAUAAAUGAAAAGAAAACAGAUAGAAUACAAAAGAAACAGAAAGACUACUUAGAUAGAAGAGAUGUGUUUUUAGCCGAUUCUUGAAGAUGGCUAAGGACUCAGCUGCUCGGAUUGAGUUGGGCAGGUCAUUCACCAGGAGGAACAUUUAAUUAAAAGUCCGUAAAAGUGACUUUGUGCUUCUUUGGGAUGGCACAAUCAAGCGACGUUCACUUGCAGAACGUAAGCUUCUAGAGGGCACAUAAGUCUGAAGUAAUGAAUUUAGGUAAAGGGGUGCAGAGCCAGUGGUGGUUUUGUAGGCAAACAUCAAUGCCUUGAAUUUUAUGCGAGCAGCUAUUGGUAGCCAGUGCAAAUUGAUAAAUAGAGGUGUGACUUGUAUUCUUGUGGCUCAUUAAAAAUUAAUCUUGCUGCUGAAUUCUGGAUAAAUUGUAAAGGUUUGAUAGAACUGGCUGGAAUACCUGCCAAGAGAGCAUUGCAAUAGUCCAGCCUGGACAGAACAAGAGCUUGAACAAGGAGAUGUGCAGCAUGUUCUGAAAGAAAGGGCCUGAUCUUCUUGAUGUUGAAGAAAGCAAAUCCGCAGGACCGGACAGUUUUAGCAAUGUGGUCUAAGAAAUUCAGCUGAUAAUCAAUCAUAACUCCAAGGUUUCUGGCUGUUUUUGAAGGAGUUAUGGUUGAUGUGCCUAACUGGAUGGUGAAAUUGCGAUGAAAUGAUGGGUUUGCUGGAACCACAAGCAGUUCUGUCUUGGCAAGGUUGAGUUGAAGGUGAUGGUCCUUCAUCCAGCAAGAAUAUCUGUUAAACAAGCUGAGAUGCGAGCAGUUACAGUCGAAUCAUCAGGAUGGUGGAUGGUAUGAGAGGUAGAGUUGAGUGUCAUCAGCAUAGCAGUGGUAUGAAAAGCCAUGUUUCUGAAUGACAAAACCUUAUGAUGCCAUGUAGACAGAGAAGAGAAGUGGUCCAAGAACUGAGCCCUGAGGCACCCCAGUAGUUAGAUGUUGCGACUUGGACACCUCACCUCUCCAAGAUACUUUGAAGGACCUAUCUGAUAGGUAAGACUCAAACCACUGGAGUGCAGUUCCUGAGAUGCCCUUUGCCAGUAGGGUUGACAGGAGGAUCUGGUGGUUAACAGUGUCAAAAGCAGCAGAUAGAUCAAGCAAGAGAAGUAUUGAAGAUUUGGAUUCCGCUCUUGCCAGUCUUAGGGCUUCAACAACUGAGAGCAAGGCAGUCUCAGUUGAAUGUCCACUUCUGAAGCCAGAUUGGUCACUGUCAAGAAGGUUGUUCUGUGUGAGAAAGGCAGAGACUCAGCUAGUUCAAGUGUUUUUGCAAUGAAAGGAAGAAGGGAAACUGGUCUGUAGUUCUCUAAAAGAGAUGGGUUGAGGGUGUUUCUUAAGUAGUGGAGUUAUACAAGCCUGUCUAAAUGAUGAGGGAAAAACACCAGUGUGGAGGGAUAUGUUAAUGAUGUGAGUGAGUGCAGGUACAACUGCAGGAGAAACGUUGGAGACUUCUGCCUCAGAGAGUGAAGAGAAGGAUGUGAAUGAGUGUAUGUUUGCUGGUGAGAUGUGCUUGACGGAUUGUGGUGUGGAAAAUUGUGCACUGAUGUUUUUAAUUUUAUUAAUGAAAAACGUGGCAAAGUCGUCAGCUAUUAGAGUUGAUGCAGGAGGGGGAGGAGGAGGACAAAGGAGCGAGGAAAAUGUUUUAAAAAAGCAUGCGAGAGUUAGACCAAUUGUUAAUUUUGUUAUGGUAGUAUGUCCUUUUAGCAGUGGAGACAUUAGCAGAGAAAGAAGAGAGGAGUGACUGAUACACAUUAAGGUCAGUAGUAUUUUUGGAUUUGCGCCACACCCUUUCAGCAGCUCUAAGCUUAGAACAAUGUUCGCAUAGAACAUCAGAUAACCAAGGGGGAGAAGGGGUGGUACGGGCUGGCCUGGAAGACAAGGGGCAAACAGUGUCUAAACAAGAUGUAAGAGUGGAGCAGAAAGUAUCAGUAGCACUGUUAGUAUCAAAAGAUGCUAACAGUUUAGGGGAAGGAAGCGAAGAUGAAACCAUAGCAGAUAGCCGGGAGGGUGAGAGUGAGCAUAGGUAGAGUGAGCAUAGGUUAUGUCGAAAGAUGACAUGUGAGGGGUAAGUGAUGUGUCAGGGACCAUGUUGAGGUUAAGAGUGAGGAGGAAGUGAUCCGAGGUGUGCAGUGGAGUAACCAGUACAUAAUCAGUGGAGCAGUGUCGUGUGUAAAUAAGGUCCAGUUGGUUGCCUGAUUUGUGAGUAGCAGUAGUUGACACUCGGUUGAGAUCAAAAGAGGCAAGCAGAGUGUGGAAGUCUGCAGAUAGAGGUUUAUCUAGGUGGAUGUUGAAGUCUCCAAGCAUAACUAGGGGAGUACCAUCCUCAGGAAAGGUUGAGAGCAGCACAUCUAAUUCAUCCAAAAAGUUAUCUAGUGGUCCUGGGGGUCGAUAGACAACUACAAAAUGGAUUUUAAGAGGGUAGGUAACAGUAACUGAAUGAGAUUCAAAGGAGCUGUUGAUACCCAAAGAUGGUAAAGGAUUAAAUUUCCAAUCAUUAGAGAUAAGCAGACCAGUACCUACCUCCACCUCUUCCAGUCAAAAGGGGGGAGUGGGAAAAUGAGAAAUUAUUGGAGAGUGCUGCAGGUUUAGCAGUGUCCUCUGGUUUGAUCCAGGUCUCUGUCAGGGCCAUGAGAUUUAGCUUUGAAUGACUAAUAAUAGAAGUAAUGAAAUCGGCUUUGUUUACAGCAGACUGGAAAUUCCAGAGACCAGUAGAAAAAGAAAGUAGUGUAUUAGCAGACAUAGGCAAAGUGUGCAGGUUGUUAGGAUAGCACUGCCUACAGUGUGUGAUGCGUGGUUUGCGAGUGGUAGUGAUAGUAGGGAUCUGGAAACACAUAGUAAGAAUUGGUUAUAAAAACUGAAACAGAAGUGAAACAAGUAGUAGGAAAAAAGAUUAAUCAAAACAAUACUUAUAUCCCUUGCCAGUGUCCCUGCCUGGUGGAGUCGCAUGGUAGAGUCUAUGGUCUUUACACUCUUCCGUCUUCUCCUGAGGAGAGCUUAACAGGAGGGCUGCCGCGACCGCUGUCGCGGUAUACUAACCUUUUUUAUACUACAGUAAUCUUACAAUAUGAUUUAGAUCAUUUAUAACUGACUAUCAGCUCAUAAUUUGCACUCGUUCCUGCAGCUUGUGGCAUAUGUAAUGAGUCACAAUGAGCAGGUUUUCAAAAAAUGAGUUAUUUUGAUUUUCACAUUCUCCAUUAAAAUACCUUCAAAAUAAUAUAUGUAAUUUUUUAUUUUUUUUAAAACUACUUACUGUAAUUCUAUGUAUCAGGAUCUCGCACUUCUGAUACAAACACGCCCCAUAGUAUAGUCCCACCCCUCACAUUGAUUGACAGCUUUCCGUGUUGACAUCGGACAUUCAAAUACAAAA
rnacentral:lncRNA from 1 species